CCAGUGCCACUGUAGGAGCAUCCCUGCACUGUGCCCAGGUGCCAUGGGGGUGGUCCCUGAUUCCAGGGACAGGACGCUGCCCUCCAGGCUGACCCGUCUGUGAGAGUGGCCCCUCCUGCCCUGCCUGCCCUACUGCACACAAAUGGAGGUGGAAUAUGGGGUUUUGUAACUCUGGCUUGAGCAGUAUGAAAGGGCUUGAUCCUCAGAGAAAAUGCCAAGAGGGAACUAAGGCAGCUGCAGCUUCUACGCCGUGGUGAGGACACUUCCAAGCAAGCACUUGUUUCACACUAGAUAUUGUGCUUCAUCUACACUUUCACACUUUUCCCACCCCCACGAGCCUUGAAAUGGGACAAUGGUUGAUACUUAGCCAUUAAACGAAGGGGAAGUUCAUAGGGAAAGAGGGCCUGAUGUCCUGAAGCCACCUGAGAGCCUGCUCUCCUGUUUGGCACUCCACCUUGUCUCCUGUACUCCUGGCCACACACUGGGCGUUACACUGACAUAAUGAGGAGUCGAAGGUCAUCGACAGGAGUUGGGCUUCUGUAGCUGUGCUUAUAUGGCUGGAUUUAGGGGAUGGGGAUGGAAAGGCCCUGGCUCAGGUCCUAGGGAGGGAUUUAGAAGUUUCCUGCGAGCCUGGACCAAGCUGCCACCUGCAUCUCCUUUUCACUGGACACCCCAUAAACUGCCAGAUAGAUGCACAGAGCUGGAGCAGGCUGGAGCAAGGAGGGUGCUCCAAGCAAAUCUUUGAAUAAUUUACCAAGGCUGGACCGGUGGUUAGGCCCCAGUCUGCUAUCUGGGAACCUGUGUUGUUACAAUGCACACAGAAAAGGCCAUAAAUGGAAAUGCAUGAGCAGGAGGAGAUCCUGGGCUCUAAGCAAAGAGGACUUAUUUUUUCUAACCAGUUCUCCUGCCUCAGCAACUCAUUACAACUUGCUUUCUAGAUGAAAUAAUUCCUGGUUGUUUUUAGAAAAUAACCUUUAUCUUGACCACUAAUUGGUCUGAAAGUACUCCCUGCCUCUUAUAGAGUAAACUUCUGUGGGAUCUUUACCUGCAAAGCAUUGUCCAAUGACCUGCCUUUAAGGCAGCAGAUCCAGCUGACUUACAAGCUCCACCAAAGGGCCGUCCACUGUCAAGCUCUAUAGCACUGUAUAUUGGAACCCAAGAGGUUUUCACACAACCGUGAAUAAAAUUAAUUUAUAAAAGUCUA